rnacentral:rRNA from 1 species
CUACGGGUGGCACCAGUGAGGAAUAUUGCACAAUGGGGGGAACCCUGAUGCAGCAACGCCGCGUGGAGGAUGACGCAUUUCGGUGUGUAAACUCCUUUCAUAUGUCAAGAAAAUGACGGUAGCAUAUGAAUAAGCACCGGCUAACUCCGUGCCAGCAGCCGCGGUAAUACGGAGGGUGCAAGCGUUACUCGGAAUCACUGGGCGUAAAGGACGCGUAGGCGGGUUGGAAAGUCAGGUGUGAAACCCUACAGCUUAACUGUAGAACUGCACUUGAAACUUCUAAUCUAGAGUAUGGGAGGGGGAGAUGGAAUUAGUGGUGUAGGGGUAAAAUCCGUAGAUAUCACUAGGAAUACCUAAAGCGAAGGCGAUCUCCCGGAACAUUACUGACGCUAAGGCGUGAAAGCGUGGGGAGCAAACAGGAUUAGAUACCCGUGUAGUC